UUUUACCACAGACGCUCGCGAUGAACAAACAGGAAGCCAGCAGAAAGUGCGGCAAUUCGCUGUAGCCCGGCUCAACUCAGCUGAGUGACACGAAAGGCCAUAAAAGCCGGCAUGGGGGUGGCAGGGUGGAGGAGAGCAGGCGAGAGGGGCCAGGCAGCUGGCGCAGGGGAGCUGGCUUCUGCCUCGCCUCCCCGGGGACAGCGUGGGUUUGCAGCUGCGAGGCCGCCGGAUCCAUGCCUCUGCGAGCCAAUAAGCGCAGCUGAGGGGUGAAUUUGGCAUCCUUGAAAGCAUCAUUAACACGUCGCUCCUCGCACUCCUGACUAAAGGAAGAGACAGUGACAUCCCUAAAAGUGACGAUAAUAAAUCCCCAGGCAGCAUGCGGGGCCCUUCAGUGCUGGAUGUGUCAGUAAUUUAUGAAGGGAGCAGGAAAAAAGAUACUAUUUUUUAAAAAAAUUUCCAAGUUGAGCUUCCUAAAUAAAACACAAGGACAAGA